UAUGUUCAAGGGUAUGUAAGGAAAAAGGUAAAUUGCAUUGCUACCUGCUGAACUUUUGGCGAAGUUUUACUUUACUCCUCGAACUUUUAAAAUUGACAUCUAACCCCUAAACUCUAAUAUUUCGUUCAUGUUACCGCUUCUGUCAGUUUUCCGUAUAACCGGAAACUGACAGAAAGAAUAAAACGAAUAAAAUAUUAGAGUUUAGGGUGUUAGAUGUCUAUUUUAGGAGUCUGGGGGUUAAGUGAAACUCGCCAAAAGUUCAGGGAGUAACAAUACAAUUUAUCCAAAUUUUUACUAUAAAUUAUUUUUAUAUUUUUAUAUUAAAAAUUUCUAAUUGGCUGAAAUGAACUACAAAAAUUUUAUUUAAGUGUAUUUUAUAGAACAAUGCUUCUAAAGAUAAAAGGGACAAACGAAUACUACAAAAAAUUAACUGAGAAUUAAAAUCUCUAUAUCCGAGUGCGGACAUCUAUUGUAAAUCAACCAUAUUAGCGAGUAUACCAUGAUAGUAAAGUGUUCGAGCAUUGUGGGUAAUUAGUAUCACUCUUUUUUUAUCUUUAAGUUACUAUAAUUCAUUUCUUUCACUUUUAUUUUAUUACAAGAAAAUGUAUGAUAAAUUAUGAUAUGGUUUAUUUUAGGAUAAAAAAUAUAUAUAAAUUUUAAAUCAAACAUGAUCACUAACUUGAGGAUUAGUAGUCAAUCCAUAAGUAAUAUAUUAUAAUAAAAUAAUUUAUAGUCAAGAGUCCCCUACGGAGUAAAUUGCACUAUUACCUCCUGAACCUUUAGUGAGUUUUACUUAACCCUCAAAUUUCUAAAAUAGACAUUUAACACCCUAAACUCUAAUAUUUCAUUCGUUUUACCCUUUCCGUCAGUUUCGGUUAACGGAGCUUUACGGAAAACUGACGGAAAUGGUAACAUGAACGAAAUAUUAGAGUUUAAAGGGUUAGAUGUUAAUUUUAGGAGUUCGAGGGGUAAAGUGAAAAUUCGCCAAAAGUUCAGGGAGUAACAGUACAAUUUACCCGUAAGGAAAAU
rnacentral:lncRNA from 1 species